CUACGGGAGGCUGCAGCGAGGAAUAUUGCACAAUGGGGGGAACCCUGAUGCAGCAACGCCGCGUGGAGGAUGACGCAUUUCGGUGUGUAAACUCCUUUUAUAUGUCAAGAAAAUGACGGUAGCAUAUGAAUAAGCGCCGGCUAACUCCGUGCCAGCAGCCGCGGUAAUACGGAGGGCGCAAGCGUUACUCGGAAUCACUGGGCGUAAAGGACGCGUAGGCGGGUUGAAAAGUCAGGUGUGAAAGCCUACAGCUUAACUGUAGAACUGCACUUGAAACUCUCAACCUAGAGUAUGGGAGGGGCAGAUGGAAUUAGUGGUGUAGGGGUAAAAUCCGUAGAUAUCACUAGGAAUACCUAAAGCGAAGGCGAUCUGCUGGAACAUUACCGACGCUAAGGCGUGAAAGCGUGGGGAGCAAACAGGAUUAGAUACCCUUGUAGUC
rnacentral:rRNA from 1 species